rnacentral:rRNA from 1 species
UCAGUCUNUCUUAAAAGUUCGGGGCUUAACCCCGNGAUGGGAUGGAAACUGCCANUCUAGAGUAUCGGAGAGGAAAGUGGAAUUCCUAGUGUAGCGGUGAAAUGCGUAGAUAUUAGGAAGAACNCCAGUGGCGAAGGCGACUUUCUGGACGAAAACUGACGCUGAGGCGCGAAAGCCAGGGGAGCGAACGGGAUUAGAUACCNCGGUAGUCCUGGCCGUAAACGAUGGGUACUAGGUGUAGGAGGUAUCGACCCNUUCUGUGCCGGAGUUAACGCAAUAAGUACCCCGCCUGGGGAGUACGACCGCAAGGUUGAAACUCAAAGGAAUUGACGGGGGCCCGCACAAGCGGUGGAGUAUGUGGUUUAAUUCGACGCAACGCGAAGAACCUUACCAGGUCUUGACAUUGAUGGACAGAACUAGAGAUAGUUCCUCUUCUUCGGAAGCCAGAAAACAGGUGGUGCACGGUUGUCGUCAGCUCGUGUCGUGAGAUGUUGGGUUAAGUCCCGCGACGAGCGCAACCCCUAUCUUAUGUUGCCAGCACUUUGGGUGGGGACUCAUGAGAGACUGCCGCAGACAAUGCGGAGGAAGGCGGGGAUGACGUCAAAUCAUCAUGCCCCUUAUGACCUGGGCUACACACGUACUACAAUGGGAGUUAAUAGACGGAAGCGAGAUCGCGAGAUGGAGCAAACCCGAGAAACACUCUCUCAGUUCGGAUCGUAGGCUGCAACUCGCCUACGUGAAGUCGGAAUCGCUAGUAAUCGCAGGUCAGCAUACUGCGGUGAAUACGUUCCCGGGCCUUGUACACACCGCCCGUCACACCACGAAAGUCGGAAGUGCCCAAAGCCGGUGGGGUGACCUUCGGGAGCCAGCC